UUGGAAUCAGGAGAGUUGCUGGCAUUUAUGGCUAGUAACUAAUUGUUAAUAAGAAACGGCUAGAAUUAAAGAUCAACACUUCGGUUAAAACAAAAAGAUUCCAACGGAAGAAAACAAAACAGAAACAAACAUAAAAACUUGAAAGCAAAAGUAAAAAUCAGUAAAACCCAACAAAGCUCAUCUCUCUCCCUCACGAGAGACCCAAUCUUCACGAAGGGAAAGUCAAUCAUUGAGGAAAAGUAAGCGACUCAAAGUCGUCGCACAUCCCAUGAAGAUAGACAACAAUCCAAACAUAACAGUAAGCAAUCAAUAUGAAACCCUGUUCCGGUCGAGAUCAAAAAGAAAAUGAAAACAACGAGUCGAGGUUGUGAUACCUGUCGCAAACGGAUCCAAACUGAGGUUGAGAAAGUAACGCUCGGGUUUGUCUUCCCAACACCCUCUUACUGGUCGGUUCGCGCUCCCCCCUUCACCUCCAAUGCGAGCUUCGUCCGCCGGCUCUACUUUCAGUAUCCUUGGUCCAAAUGGCGUUAAGGUGAAUCUCCACUUUCUUUUCGUUAAGGUUUUUUGUUCUCCUUGCCGUCUUCAAAAAAU
rnacentral:lncRNA from 1 species